rnacentral:rRNA from 1 species
GACGAACGCUGGCGGCGUGCCUAAUACAUGCAAGUAGAACGCUGAAGGAGGAGCUUGCUUCUCUGGAUGAGUUGCGAACGGGUGAGUAACGCGUAGGUAACCUGCCUGGUAGCGGGGGAUAACUAUUGGAAACGAUAGCUAAUACCGCAUAAGAGUAGAUGUUGCAUGACAUUUGCUUAAAAGGUGCAAUUGCAUCACUACCAGAUGGACCUGCGUUGUAUUAGCUAGUUGGUGGGGUAACGGCUCACCAAGGCGACGAUACAUAGCCGACCUGGGAGGGUGAUCGGCCACACUGGGACUGAGACACGGCCCAGACUCCUACGGGAGGCAGCAGUAGGGAAUCUUCGGCAAUGGACGGAAGUCUGACCGAGCAACGCCGCGUGAGUGAAGAAGGUUUUCGGAUCGUAAAGCUCUGUUGUAAGAGAAGAACGAGUGUGGGAGUGGAAAGUGCACACUGUGACGGUAUCUUACCAGAAAGGGACGGCUAACUACGUG